rnacentral:rRNA from 1 species
GGUGAACGCUGGCGGCGUGCCUAACACAUGCAAGUCGUACGGAGGGAGCAGGGCUUGCCUUGGUCCCUCAGUGGCGUCCGGGUGCGUAACACGUAGGUGACCUGCCCCUGGAUGGGGGAUAACGUGCCGAAAGGCGCGCUAAUACCGCAUACGCUCUCGGGGUCAUAGCCGAGAGGAAAGCCUGGCCACAGGCGUCCAGGGAGGGGCCUGCGGCCCAUCAGCUUGUUGGUGGGGUAAUGGCCUACCAAGGCGAAGACGGGUAGGGGGCCUGAGAGGGUGGUCCCCCACACGGGCACUGACACACGGGCCCGACUCCUACGGGAGGCAGCAUG